GAUGAACGCUGGCGGCGUGCCUAAUACAUGCAGGUCGAGCGAACGGACGAGAAGCUUGCUUCUCUGAUGUUAGCGGCGGACGGGUGAGUAACACGUGGAUAACCUACCUAUAAGACUGGGAUAACUUCGGGAAACCGGAGCUAAUACCGGAUGAUAUUUUGAACCGCAUGGUUCAAAAGUGAAAGACGGUCUUGCUGUCACUUAUAGAUGGAUCCGCGCUGCAUUAGCUAGUUGGUAAGGUAACGGCUUACCAAGGCAACGAUGCAUAGCCGACCUGAGAGGGUGAUCGGCCACACUGGAACUGAGACACGGUCCAGACUCCUACGGGAGGCAGCAGUAGGGAAUCUUCCGCAAUGGGCGAAAGCCUGACGGAGCAACGCCGCGUGAGUGAUGAAGGUCUUCGGAUCGUAAAACUCUGUUAUUAGGGAAGAACAUAUGUGUAAGUAACUGUGCACAUCUUGACGGUACCUAAUCAGAAAGCCACGGCUAACUACGUGC
rnacentral:rRNA from 1 species